UUUUCUUGCAUAUCCCGGGACUUGCAUGCAUUAAUUUUGUUCCUAAAUUUUAUACUAACUUGUUUUUUAAGUGUUUUUAGUUUGUAGGUAAAGCUUAUGGGAGACGAGAGGAUCCGCGGAUAUCCUUCGAACUCGAAGGAUAUCCCAUAAUAGGGAGUAUCUCCUACAUUUUCUUUUAAUUUACGCUUUCCAUUUAUUUUAUUUUCUUGCAUAUCCCGGGACUUGUAUG